AUUAGUUAGUUGGCGGGGUAACGGCCCACCAAGACGAUGAUGCGUAGCUGGUCUGAGAGGAUGAUCACCCACACGGGGACUGAGACACGGCCCAGACUCCUACGGGAGGCAGCAGUGAGGAAUCUUGCGCAAUGGGGGAAACCCUGACGCAGCCACGCCGCGUGAAGGAAGACGGCCCUAUGGGUUGUAAACUUCUUUUAUAUGGGAAGAACCGCCUGGUUUCGACCGGGCCUGACGGUACCAUAAGAAUAAGCACCGGCUAACUCCGUGCCAGCAGCCGCGGUAAUACGGAGGGUGCAAGCGUUGUCCGGAAUCAUUGGGUGUAAAGGGUGCGUAGGCGGGUGUCUAAGUCUGGGGUGAAAUCCUACGGCUCAACCGUAGAAUGGCCUUGGAUACUGGGCAUCUUGAGUGUGAGAGAGGUCGGUGGAAUUCGUAGUGUAGCGGUGAAAUGCAUAGAUAUUACGAAGAACACCAGUGGCGUAGGCGGCCGACUGGCUCACAACUGACGCUGAGGCACGAGAGCGUGGGGAGCGAACAGGAUUAGAUACCCUGGUAGUCCACGCUGU
rnacentral:rRNA from 1 species